AGAAACAUACGUUUCAGAAGCAUCUUAUACUGUGUUAAAGCAUAGGACAAGGAGCAGCUGUGGUUCACCAUGAUCGAUCGCACACUGCAAAUAUUUAGACAGCCAAGAAGAAAGAAGCUAUGUGCGAACUCAGGCCAGUGAGCUGAGAGAGGAAGGAGAACUAGAGGAAUAACAAAGAAGUCUUUUUGGAGUGUGAAUUGCUUGGUCCUUUCAUGUGUAUUUCUGCAGCACUGGGUGUAGUGAUGCGGUUGUGGGUCAUCUUCAUUUCAAGUAACUCAGCCGCUUUCUAUCAGAUGACCCAGGUUAUUUAAAAUUAGAACCAAGGGAAGAAGAAGUGGCAGAGAUCAACAAUACAGCAGCCUAAACCAAACCUGAAGAACUACAACAUCAACCAAUAGACCAACAGACUUACUAACAUGGAAAAAAGAAGUCUCACAGAGCCCUACCCAUAUAUAAAGAACUGAAGGCCCAUAAGGAACGCUGAGAACAGGAGACAUGGUCUUUCCCGGGAAUGAGUUCCUUAAUUGGUUAUCCAGUAUGAAGCAGGCAACAGUAAGCAGACUAAGCAGGUUUUAAUCAUUGCAGUGGAGAAGAUCCCUAACUCUGGAUUUGGACCAAUACUCCAUUAAACUCUACGUUUCAUAUGAGCACAGUGAAGUGACUUGGGGAGAAGAAACUGUCUCACAUGGUGCAUCGAUUUUAUGGCAAAGUGAGCAACAGAGCCGUGUACCAUCUGGUCUAUGACUUAGCAACCAUAAGGUGAAUACAAGAUGGAAAAUAACCUGAAAUCCAAAAUAGUUUGCUUCUUCCUGUAUUAGCUGUGCUGACUGAAACUAUUGACUAAAUGAGAUUUUUGAGAAUAGCCAUGAAUUUUGAUUAUCCAACACCCUGCUAAGAAUUUAAAGAGUCAUAUUAGUUCUUCUGUGGGCGGGAAGAGGAGUGAGAGAUCUGAAAUAGCACCUGUGGAGUAUAAAAAGACAAAUUUGGAUACUGAAAGCAAUAGUUGUCAAAGCUGUCAAACACCACAAUUCUCUUUUACAUAAAAAAGAAGAAGAAAAUGAAGAAGGUUGGGGAUGGAUCGUGAGGAAGAUUGCAGAGACUUAUAAUGGACUUGGAACAGUCAAGAACAGGUUCUGUACAGAGGACUGAGUGAGUCUCCUCAAAAUGUAGACAAAACCACACCCAGCUAAAGGAGAUCUAGGUCUUCAGCCAAGCCAUGAAUCAGGGACUAAAAAAACUAGGUUCUAGAUGGGCAGCUGUCAUUAAGGGAUGUAAGCACUGAAUUUUAUGAGAGCCAACUGUGAGUGUGAUGAAAGGAUGACAUGAUUUUCUUUGCUUUGGGAAGAUAUGGGAACACAUCUGCAACAGAAGGGCUGUAAACUCUCCAACUAAAACUAUCCAAUGGGAGAU